rnacentral:lncRNA from 1 species
AAAAGUAGUGGAGCUCAGGUACGUCAACCUAGUUGCAGUGGCCAGAGAUGCAUUAAAUUUCUAGAUCCCUGUAUAUAGUUGUUGACAUAUGCACUAGAAGCUAUAAUCACAUAGAAUUCUAUGUAUAUCCUCCCACACCCUGGGUAGCUACUGACUGAAGGGGUCAAGCAAGGGCUAUUUGCUGUCCCCCAAAAAGUACACCUGGCCAGAAGGGCACAAACACGGCUUCUUAAAUCACUCACUUUCUCCUGUUCCCCUCCUGUUUCUGAAAUAUAAGUUUAUGACGUUCUUUCACAAAAGAGUAUAAUCAUUCUUAGACUGUUGACAUGGCUGUGGAAAGCCUUAGGAGAAGUAGAAACAAUUUAGGGAGGGUGGGGAAUGUACUCAUCCCCUCUUCUUUCCAUCCUAGUGCCCCCACCAAAGAGGCUUCUUGUUGCAGCCCUCAGUAUCUGGAUAUGGGCCAGGGAGGAAGGAAGGGAAAGAGCAAUGCUGCUGUGCUUCAAUCCUGGCCUUCCCCUCACAGAAUUCUUUUAGGAAGAGCAAGCUUUUGUAAGUAGAGUGGCAAGUGUUUUUAUCUUUUUUUUUUUCCUGCUCCUCAAAAUGUUGUCUUGUUCCGGCAAUCACUUUUGCCUUCCCUCUUUCCUGAGCCUGUAGUGACAAAGCCCGGCGAUUUGGGAUGAAAUCUGUUGUAACACCAGAGCUUUGAUUACACAUCCUCUGGUUUUGAGUUAUUCUACAGAAUCAGAAAGGCUGGAAGGUGGGCUUCACACUCAGGAUUGUGCUUUGAGAACCAGCUAAUAGACCAGCCGAGGGAAGGUUGAAUUGGCUGUCUUUACUUUUCCCGAUAAGCCCUACUUAAAUGCAGCCUGUAAUUGUAUAAAGGAGAUGAGAAACAUCAAGAGAAAUGACAUACAUGUAGCUCUGGGGUAGCAAGAACUAGACUUCCUCAAUUUGGAUUCCAUUUCCUUCUGCCAUUUGCUUUUAGGCAAUUGAGUGUGGGUAGUGAUGAGAUAUCAAAUCCCUUAGUGUUUCCAUUUUGGGAAAUGAGGCACUAUUUUUUUUUUUAAAAGACAACUUACCCACCUGAGUCCUGAAACAGUUUGUCUCUCCAGUUUUCUGGCCUAUACUCUAGUUAGCUCUGAUCCAAGUUUACAGGACAACAGCCUUGCUUUAAGCCAUGUCCUGUUGUGGGCACGAUAAUAGCAACUGAGCUGUCACAGCCUACCAGCAGGCUGGUAACACCUCCAGGGUCUCUUGGCUAGAGCAGAUUUCUUAGCAGCUGACUAGGACUUCAGUCAUUGGGAAGCCUAUGAGGCCUUUACAUUUUUGGUGUGAGAUGGGGAAGAAACAUAAAAUGCCACUUUACAACUUCAAUAAUAGCCUGUAAUUUAUAUUUACUGUGUGAAUUUUUAGUCCUAUAUUUUAAUAAUUUGUAAAUUGAUCUCUUAUUCCAAGAAUCCUUUGAACUUGUAGAACAUCUGGGAGUCCACUUCCCUGUCCUCUUCCUGAUCCCUGCUUUCUGGACUGUUUAAAUCCUCUUUGGGAUGGAUCAGAGAGUCUAGAGAGGCCACUCAUAGGUCCAGCUGCUGGCCUCCUGACUCUCCAAAGCCUUCACUGGAAUUGGGACAUUUGCUCCAGCCCUAGCUGUGAACAUGACCAGAGACAUUAUUUAUAAUUCAGCCAUUUAAGAUAUACCUGUACUCAAAAAGUCCUGUAUAUUUUUAAAAAGUUUUAUUUUUCAGGUGAACAAAAAUACAUCCUAAUUGGUGGGGCCCCCUGAGGCCUGCACUUCAGCAGAGCCGUUGGGGGGUAGCUACUGUUCUUUUACAUUACCUUGUAGUCUGCAGGGAGGCAUGGAAAAAGUCUGCCCUUCUUUUAUUUCCCUCUUCAGCCUACACAAUGGCUUUCUGAGAGAGGGCUUGGUAAGGUAGAGCAGAAGGGGAGUGAAAGAGUUUCCAAGGCUCUUUUGGUCGGCCCCUCCUUUUUGCAGACAGUGACAUGUGGCUUCUACAGCUGCCCACGGCGGCUUCACAUGUUGGGCACAUACAGCAAUAUGUACAGUGGGAGCCUGCUAGCCGACGAGACAGGGCCUGGUUGGCUGAGGAGCAGUGGUCUGAAUAGCUUUAUUUCCAAGGGUUAGAAAUCAGCUGCAAAAUUGUCCAUCAAGUUUUAAGCCAGGAAGGAGAGAUCUGUGCAGAGGGGGUUACUUUCCUUCAAAGGCUUUGCACCGGGACUACCAGGACCCUUUCUAGGUGUUUGCUUAUAUUAGAAGUUAACGGUGUGCAUUCAUUUAUUCCCUGACGGCCUGAACUUGAAGAAAGAGAUAAGCCUGUUUUGAAAGUGAAGUUUUGGGGGGUGGAGGAUCAGGGAAGGAACCCAUUAGGCUGAGUUUGUGAGGGUAUCUUCACUUUCCCCAUUAAUGUUAAGGUACAAUGAAGUGUUUCUCUGAGGUUUUAAGCAUAAGAAAUAUUUCUCUUCCUAACAGCCCUAGAUUUCCACAUGGUAUGAGACCAUGUUUUGGAAGCUUUUCUGUCUACCUUGUUUUUUCAGUUUUCACUGGGGAAUUCUGAGAUAGCGUGUUCUUUCGUGGAGUAUUUAUAUCCUGUCUUGAAAUGCUGAAUGCAUAGCAUCUACUUGUUUCUACAUGUUUCUUUAAGGAGAGCUGAAAGGUCAGGUCACAAGCUUUAGGACUACCACAGCUAUGUAAAAGGGGUAAUAAUUGUCCUCUCUUUCCUGUCUACAGAGAAUGGAGGUAUUUCUGGAAUUUCAGUUCAGUAACAAAAGGGCCACAGCUAUACUUUUCGUUUUCCAUCUCCCUCAGUGGAAGGAGAAACUGCAGUGGCUUUGCCUGUUUCUCAUGACCAGUACUCACUCAGUGCCUGGCAGUGGGUACUCAGAAUUUGUUGAUCUCUGAGUUGAUCAGCACCCAGUGGGUGCUGGGUGCUGAUGGAAUCAGCCUUAGUGUCAUUGUGGUGUCCCUGUCAUAAUCUACUUGCAUACCCGUAUCCACAGCCCAUAAUCUGGUUCAAGGAGGUGGGUUGCUAAAGAAAACCCCUGCAAAUCAUAGCUGCACUGAUCUCUCUAGCCUCAGUUUUUUUAUUUCCAAGUUGAAGGACUCGGCCUUGGCCUUCCUGUUCUUUCCGGGUGCCGCAAGUCCACAGUGGUAUUCCAUAUGGUGCUUAACGGACACACCAUAGGAUAUGUGAUCCAUUCAUUGUCUCCUAGGUCCCAGCCCUGCAGCCUCAUGUUAAGCUAUAAAAAUAUCUGCUCUGUCGACAGUUUUUUUGGUUACCUCUGUUUUACUUGCUGACAUAGCCUGUGGUUUUCUGCUGCCAGAAAGCCUGUGUUAUGCUUUUUGUCCCCUCCAGUAGCUAACUGAAAAAGCAAACAAACUUCUCUUUACCCCUCACCUAGACUCUACCAGGCUUUCCACCCUAAAUGCAGAAAUACCCAGCAUGGGAGCCACCUGGUCAGUGCUCCUCACUGGAUCCUGUGCCCCAUUC